AUGGUGGCAUCAAGAAGAGCAUCGUCGAUGCGUGUAAGAGCUGCCAUGAAGAUGACAUACCUCCCGGCCUUCGCCGUCGUCUUGCUCUCGGGGUGCGGCCAUGCCUCCUCGAGGUCGCUGCCCUCGGUCACCACCCAUGGCGCCGAUGCACAGCUGGAAGGUGGCCGAGCGGCGCGCGCCAAGCUCGAGCCUCCAACCGCGAAUGCUGAUAAACCGCCGGAGCUCGGAAUCCGCGACAACGGUUCCAUUCAGUCUGAGAAGAAAAAGCGCCAUGCCAAGGCGCCGCCCAAGCACCACGGGCCUGGCAAACACGCUCCCCCGGCCGACCCUUCGCCGCCGGCGCCUGAUCCGGACGGCGGCCAGCCCCCGGAGGUACCUGUUCCGGAGGGCCCGCACGACCAGAACCCGCCGGCGUGGCCGUUCCCGUGGCCGCAGCCGCCACCGGGCAACGACCGGCCGCCUCUGCCUCCGUUCCCGUUCCACCCACCGCCACUUCCUGCAUGGCCGCAACCAGAACCAGGCGAGCAGUGGCCCCCGCUGCCGGCAUGGCCGCAGCCAGAACCAGGAAAGCAGUGGCCCCCGCUUCCUGCAUGGCCGGAGCCAGGACCAGGAGAGCAGUGGCCGCCGUUCCCGGCAUGGCCGCAGCCAGAACCAGGAAAGCAGUGGCCGCCGUUCCCGGCAUGGCCGCAGCCAGAACCAGGAAAGCAGUGGCUGCCGUUCCCGGCAUGGCCACAACCGGAGCCAGGAAAGCAGUGGCCUCCCUUCCCGUUCUACCCGCCGCCGAUGCCGUCAUGGCAGUGGCCGCCAUCACCGUCUUUCCACGGCGAGGAGGAAGAACACGCAUCUAGGCUGGCGCCGCCUGUUCCAGCGCACAACUGA
rnacentral:rRNA from 1 species